GUAGUUAUCAUAAAAAGAAAACGAUUUCAUAGUUGCACCUCAACAAGUCGGGACACAUCACUAAACCGGUCUGACAUGUGUCAUCUAGGUGAACGUGCACAUCGACCCUGACAAGCUAAUACAAUAAUGCUCAUUUGACAGACGAGGCAGCUGAAGGUCUGAGGGCGAAGCAGCUCCUUCCACAGACGGGGUUGAUGGUGGAGCCAGGGACUCUCUGACCAUGGAAUCCUGCCCUUCUCCUUGCCCUUUGACCCAGUUCUCAGCCCCUGCUGGAUCUAGCAGUCUUCCGGAUGCUCUGGGGUGACGUCACCGGGCUGCCUUUGGCACUAACCCUGCUGUGUGGUGUUGUCUUUAGAACUUACCAGACUGUUUUCUGUGUUGAUUUGCCCAUCAACCUGAUCACACGAGGCUCAGUCUUUCUGAGGUCUCAAGAAUUGUGUGAAUUACGAGCCCUGAGCCACCGUGGAUGAAGUCCAGGCUACUCCAGUGAGAGAGCACUGAGACGCCACCUUGGACGUCCCAUCCAAGUCAAGGUAGCAUGGGCCCUGGUUUCCAUCAGUCUGCAACUGGAUGAGAGACCCCAAGUGAGAACCGCUCAGCUGAGCCUCGUCAACCCACAGAACUCAAACGUGAAGCGAGCACCAGCUACGGGCUGUGGAGGGGGACAGUGUCACGAUCGAGCCAACCUUUACCCAGUGCAAACUCUGUGCCAGGUGACCCCUACCCAGAGUGAUCAGAGCUGGAACAGGGAAUGUACAGGAACACGUGUCAGCCCCGCGGAGGCUCCCGGUCUGUGCAGGAACAUCACGGAAGUCUUCCUGGAGGAGACGAUACUCCGGUGGAGGAUGUAGGAGGGGAGGGCGUUGCAGGCAGGGGGGGCUGUGACGCGAGAACCUGAGGGAGGGGCGCGCACGGAGGGUUGACAAGCUGAUGGCACUGAAUCUGGUUGGAGAGAGGGAAGAAAGUUCUGGAAAGUGGGAAUCUGGACCGAUUUGUUCGCGACCGUGGCCCAGGACCGAGAUCAACGCUGCGCACGUAAAACCCUCGGAAUGAGACAAUGGCGGACAACACGAGGUGUCUCAAGAUAGUGCCAAUGUUCUCUGCCACAGCCGUGGAGACAGGGCCCCUUCUGUGGCCCCCUUGGGCCCCUUGGGGUGCCAGGCCUCUUCAGGAUGUACCUGGGUCUUGAGUGUGCCAAGACUUUGCUCUAACUUGCCCACGGGUCUUGUUGGGUUUAGGAGGAGCCCGGGAGAAUAAGCCAACCUUUGCUGGGCCCUCUCCGUGCUGUUCUCGAAGGUCGCAAGGAAGGGGUGAGGAGUGGGCCUGAGUGCAGCCACCUUCCCACUCCUUCCCCUUCCCCAGGCUACCUGGGACCUGGCUGGGGCUCAGCCUCCUCCCAUCCACACCACCCACUGCUAGAGGUGGGGAGGGGCUUUGAGGGCCACGGCCCCUUCCUCCGCUCGGGCCCAGGGCCUCCAAGGUAACUAUUUACUCCAGUCCCCCUCAGCCAAGCACUCUAUCUUAUCAGCUCAAACACUUCAGAGUUCAGGCCAAGAAGCCAAAGUCAAUUUUGAAAAAGUCUUUAAAAGACCAAACACAAACACCGGGGAGGGUGGAUGCAGGGGGCAAGGGUGGAGAUGAGGGUAAGGAAGGGCUCCUUCCUCCUUUACCAGGCUCAGGAGGACGCCAGGACUCUCCUGCCCAGAUGCCUGUGCCAGACGUUCACCGGAGCGCUGCUCACGUUGGCAGAAGACCGGCCGCCCCCAGCGUCUGUCACUACGACGGGUCAAUAAAUAAUAAAGUGCGUACAGCCCUUAAAAAGAACAAACCACUUCAU